GAAAUGCGAUAAGUAGUGUGAAUUGCAGAAUUCAGUGAAUCAUCGAAUCUUUGAACGCACAUUGCGCCCCUUGGUAUUCCAUGGGGCAUGCCUGUUCGAGCGUCAUUUGUACCCGCAAGCUCUGCUUGGUGUUGGGUGUUUGUCCCCGUCUCCGCGCGUGGACUCGCCCCAAAGUGAUUGGCAGCCGGCGUACUGGUCCCGGAGCGCAGCACAUGUCGCGCAAACGAGUGCCUUGGUACGGCGGCGUCCAUAAGCCCCUCUCUCACGCUCUUGACCUCGGAUCAGGUAGGGAUACCCGCUGAACUUAAGC
rnacentral:misc_RNA from 1 species